AUCUCGAAGAAAGUAUGAUGGUACGUAUCCUUCCCCACAUCGUCGAGAUCGUUAUGCUUGCCGCCGGCGCGGAUGCAUUUCUGAGUGUUGCAGGCGCGGGUGAGGCGGCCGAGCGGGUUGUUGGGGUUGACGGUGCCGAGGAAGAUCGGCUUGAACUGGUUCAUGCCGGCGUUGGCGAAGAGGAGGGUGGGGUCAUCGACGGGGACGACGGGGGAGGAGGGCCAGUUGUUGUGGGACUUGGAUUCGAAGAAGCAGAUGAAGGUGUCACGGACGAGGCUGGCGGGCCAGGAUGGGGGAUCG
rnacentral:misc_RNA from 1 species